rnacentral:rRNA from 1 species
GACGAACGCUGGCGGCGUGCUUAACACAUGCAAGUCGAGCGGAAAGGCCCUUCGGGGUACUCGAGCGGCGAACGGGUGAGUAACACGUGAGUAAUCUGCCCCAGGCUCUGGGAUAGCCACCGGAAACGGUGAUUAAUACCGGAUACGACAACUUCCUGCAUGGGAUGGUUGUGGAAAGUUUUUCGGCCUGGGAUGUGCUCGCGGCCUAUCAGCUUGUUGGUGAGGUAAUGGCUCACCAAGGCUUCGACGGGUAGCCGGCCUGAGAGGGUGACCGGCCACACUGGGACUGAGACACGGCCCAGACUCCUACGGGAGGCAGCAGUGGGGAAUAUUGGACAAUGGGCGGAAGCCUGAUCCAGCAACGCCGCGUGAGGGAUGACGGCCUUCGGGUUGUAAACCUCUUUCAGCACAGACGAAGCGCAAGUGACGGUAUGUGCAGAAGAAGGACCGGCCGACUACGUGCCAGCAGCCGCCGUAAUAC